rnacentral:misc_RNA from 1 species
ACUGCACAACCGCAGCAACCGUUGUAGUGGUCCUUGUGGCUGGGUGCGAAUCCAGCGUCGCCUAGAUCAUUCUUGAGACUUCGCACCCAUCGACUUUUCUUUCGAUGGUUCGCCUCUGACUGAAGCUCGUUGUGGACUACGUCUUCACCGCUGCCUCGCUGCUUGCUCUCCAUGUUGCGCUACAUCAUCGACGCCGUCAGGUUCCGAUCUAGUUGGUGCUGCUGCUAAUCCCAUUUCUUUGGAGUGAUUGGGACUCCCCUCCUUCCUCUCCCCAACCCACACGCGCAGCUACCGGAGUCGAGCAGCUGUGCCAGUGCUAGCGUAGGUACUGCUCUUGUCUUCUUUCUUUCCUGCAUCGCUCUGCUCCCCCUCUUGCGGCUGUCGCUCUGCGUGCGUGUCAUACACACACACACAUACACAGCUCAAACGACUGCCGCCCCUCUUUUCCCUUUUUUUCCUUGUGUAUUUCCUCUAUCUCACGCGCGUGAUGCUGUGGCCCCCAACCACCCUCGCCUCUCGGACGGGGCCAGAACCACCUCCGGAGUUGGUGCACCGCGCCCUCGGGGCGUGUCGCGUCGUGCUUCACGAGGUCUGCCGCCGCGUUGAAUCAACAGUGGCAAACGCCGCCGCGAAGGCAGAGCUGCGGCACGGAGUGAAGGCUGCCGAGUCAGCGGUGGCCAGGUCCGAGCGCCUCUUCGCCGUGCCGCCGCACCGCAAAGGCUCUAGCACCAGCGGUGCUUCCGCCGGCGCGCCACCGCUCUCGAAUCUCGAGACCCAGGACCACGCCGGCAGCGGCGUGUCUUCCGUUUCUGCCGCGCCCCAUCACGCCAAGUGCGCUCGGUCCACACAGCACACACAAAAGUCCCACGACGCGGCUGGCAGGAGAGAGAGCAUGCCUGGCGCCACAGUCGGCGCAUCCGGGGGUACUUCGGCCUCUGCGCCGCCGCACCCCACAAAGGAAGUGAUCGUGAAGCGACGGAAGACCACGGUUGCACUGUCGCCAACCAACGCCGUCGGCUCGACAGCGUUGCAGAGCAGCACCGGCGCAGAGACAGACGACGCGAGCAGGGCGGAGCAGCACUUAUCGAACUCGUCUCUCAGCGGCGGGGCGACACCCAGUGCGAUGCGGCCUGCUCGCACCGUGAUGUACACCACCGACAGACUCCCAUUCUGCACCGCAUUGCAGAGUGCCGUCGUCUGGGGCUACGUGCUCAGCGCCAUCUUCUGGAAGCGGCGGAAGCUGACGGAGUACACCAUAACCGCCUUGGAGUUGCUGCUGCGCGUCAUGCCGGUGCCCUCAGAUAUUGUCACUCUCAUUGUGGACCCAGCGGCGCUGAGUUACGAGGGAGUUGCUGGAGAGGAUGGCGCGUUCAAAGGGCGCCGCGCGCCGCGCCGGUCGGGCCACAUGCUUGUUUCCGUUGCCAUGGGCGUGUAUUGCGCACUGUCGGAGUGUAUAAUGCAGAGCUUUUCAGAGCCGGCGGUGCAGACGCGCGCGUUGCGUUUGGUUACUGAGUUGAUCACCAGCAGCCUUGUGCCACCGCGCAGGAGCGAAGCAGAAGCGUGCUGUGCAGGCCGCGAAGGAGAGACGAAUAGUUUCAUUGCGCGUCGCUCCGACAAUGGCACCGUCGACGUGACCGCGUGCUUCCAUGGGGACACUGCGUUUCGAGUCAUUGAGUCCUGCCUCAAAGUCGCAGCGAGGGGGAUGCAGGAAACUGCACGGCGCGAGGCUCUCCUGGCGCUCCGGGCGGCCGUGCAGCGCGUCGUGCACACCUUCGUCACAAUGCGGACGUACGAUGAGGUAGUCGGCGGCACCGACGGCCGCGCUCAGGCACACUCGGCCUUCUCAACGGAUACCGUCCUCGCCGACUACACAACGGAUGUCGAUAACAACGAGCCCUACACCUGGAUCCACGUCGUGCUAUCGGACAAGGCCGAGGUGCCGCUGCCGGCCCCACGGUGCACCGGUUUCUCACCGCUUGAGCCGGCUGCCACUGCAGCGGCGCCCCGCUCUGGCGGCGAACCCGGCGGCAACCCCGCCACGCAGCCGCCGCAGUACAGAGAAGGGCGCUCCGAGCUCGUCAGCGCGCCGGCCGUAGGAACAUCGCCGCAGAUCAUGAAGCAUGCACUGCGCACAGGUGACGCAAGCAGCAGCGCUAGCGAACAGGUCUCGAACGCGCCGGCUCCAUCACCAAAGCGCCCGGUGUUCCGUGAGGCCCGAUGGCCGUCCGCGCAGCGCGGACACGCGGUGCCUCGCCGCAACGAAGGCAGUUCACACGUGGCGCACACUUUGGCGCGAUCACAGCCGUCUGCCACUGCAGCCGCCAGCGCCGCCGCGGCGACCCGGCUCGACGUCAAUCCAUCGCCUUCCUCGGUGAACCUCUCCUUUGACCCACAUACGUUCUUCCGCAAUAGCGUCGAUGAGUCUCUCGUGCUGGAUGCAUUGUCGACGCUGAGCACCUCUGACGGCGCCCUUCCAAGCCCUCUGAAGGACCUGCUGAUAGUGCUGCGCCGCAUGUGCCGGUAUGCAUCACGCCCGUGCAGCGGCACGCCAACCAACGCGAACAGGGACGUGCGAGAGCGCGAUGUGGGGUUGUGGGCUCUCGAGUGUGUGCUGGACGGGCUUCCCGUGGCGAACUGCGAGCGGGAGCACCGCUGUGCCACGUGGUUGUCCCUUGUGUUAAACGCUUGCAAAUACGAGCUGCUGGGGUGCAUCGCCAAGAACCUGGCCAUGGCGACCCCGUUCACGCUUUUCGAGCGAGCUGUGCACCUGCUGGGGAUGCUGCUGCGCAAGUUGCACUAUCACAUGGCGCGCGAACUGCACACGUUGCUUGGCGCCUUUCUUCUCCCGCUGAUGGUCUCGCAGUACGCCGGGUUCCGUCAGAAGCACGCGGUGCUGUCCAUGAUACGGCAGCUCUUCACCGUGCCGCACCUGUGCGUCUCGUUCUUCGUAAACUACGACUGCAACCCUGCCUUCGACCCUGGCGCCGAGUACGGCGGCAUGUUGGAGCUGCUUGUGGAGCACGUGGUGGAGAUGACCUUCCUCGAUCACGUUGACGGCAACGGCGACGCCUACCCGUGGCUCUCGUCGGAUCAGCAGCAACUGCUCCGCAGCGAGUGCGUGGUGGUCAUUCACACACUGAUGACCUCACUGUACAGGUGGAUCGCCGAGGACCCGCGGGAUUAUGCAGCGAGCCUGCAGCGCGAUCACCAGAAGGGCGCGCAACAGGGGCAGCAACAAGAGGGCGGCGGCACGAUCGGCGCAACCGAAUCGACUGAGCUGUGCCUGGACAGCUGGGAAUCAGACGAGGUAGUCGACCCGAACCCUCUGCUCACAGGUAGCCACUCUGCGACGGCGGCUGCGAGCCGCAAGGAGGACCACAAAGGGAGCAGCAACUCCGGCGAGAGCGAGGUCCACGGCCGCGACGUGGCACUUCCCCUCGACGCUGUCUCUGGGAAGGCCCUCUCUCACUGGAGGAAGAACAGCAACGUCAACUACCAUUGGAAACACAUCCACUACCUCCUGCAUAACAAGCGCAUCGUCCAGGAAGCUGUGCAGAGCAUUAACUCGGGCCACUGGAGGGAGGCAAAGGAGUUCCUGGAGAGUCGCGGCUUCAUGGCAGCAGUGGCGCCUAGCGAGACGGAGCGGGCUGACCCGUCAAGCGUCGCCCCUGGUACGUCGAGCUACGCCCUUUUUGCUCGAUUCCUCUUCGAGUACCCGGGCAUCUCUCGCGGAGCGCUCUGCUCGAUCUUCGAAAAGGUAAACCAAAAGGAUGGCGUUUCGCGCAUGCUGCUGCAGGAGUACCUUCACUGCUUCAACUACACAGACAUACCUAUUGAUGUGGCGAUGCGUGACACAACGUGCAAGUUCAUGUCCUGGGAUCGACCAAUGUUCGAGGCGAAGGUGUGGGAGACGAUUCAGCAGUGCUUCGGCAACGAGUAUGCGAAGCAGAACCCCGGCUCCAUCACAGCCCGCGACGCCGACGUCAUGGCGGGCGUGCUGCUCUUCCUUCACUCGAAUUUGCACAACUGUUUGGUGAAGAGCAGCCGAAUGCAGGCUUCGCAGUUCGUGCGUGACGCGAAUGCCUGUCUCGAGUUUCCCAUGAUGGAGGAAGACCUCCAAGCCAUGUUCAAUCGCGUUUUGAACUGCAAGUGGGAGCUGGACAUGUAUGACCGCACCCCGCAGCAGGCAGAGAAGGAGCGGACGCUGGUGCGACUGUCGACCAAGAUCCAGAUGGAGCAGGCAGCGCAGCAGAGGCGGCAGAGCGUCGCCAGAAACAACAGCUCCAUCGUGAACUCUGAAACGACGGCGGUGCCGGCCUCUGCCGCUGCUGCUGGUAGUGGUGCAGUUGCCACCGCGUCGGUGGCGGAGACUCACGCGACGACGUGCAAGGGUUACCUAAUGUUUGGCACCGAUCCGGCGGCUCUGGAGGAUGUGCUGCAGGGCGCGGACGAGAGCGACGGUAUCUCGGGCCACAGUCCCUCUCGUGCGCCCGGGACAGCAGCUACGACGGCGACUCCAAAGGCGGAGAUUGCACAGAACCCGAACGCGUCCAUGGACAGCAGCACGCUACAGGUCUGGAUGAGCGACGAUAUGGGGCUGCUGGACAACACGAUCCCCACCUACGCUGACAACAAGGACACCCUGAAGACAAAGGAGGAGCAGCACCACGCAUUCCGCGAGGUGUCCGCCAUGUACCUGCACAAGCUCGAAUCGGUGCAUCGGCUUUACUGUGUCGAGGAUGAGGCGUAUCGCCCGCAGCCUUACAUUAUGCCCUGCUACGCCGAACACGUGCGGCAAAUGCUCCUGCUCACGUACCCACAUGUAAUGUCCUGCGUGUACAUGGGCUUCCGUGUUCUCGAGGAGGCACCGAUUGCGCGCAAGCUGUUGGACACCGUCCAAAUCACGUACGACAUUGCCGCCGCGUUUGUGCUGAACCUGCGUGACCUGCGUCCCGUGAUGGAGGAGGCGCUGCAACGGUAUCUGGAUGAUGAGCGGGCGUACCGGCUGCUGCCCUCGUCUCGCGCCACGUUUGUGCCCUUCCUACUGAACGUGCUUUAGGGCGGAGGACCGAGGAGAGGAGGCGCGCAGUGACGAUUUUUCAGAUUGUCGGCGUGAUGUCGGUAUGACCUUCUCUGCGUGCAUGCGCGGGGCUGACCGUCUUCUUCCUGCUCUCUCCUCUGCACCCCCUCCCCCCGCCUCCCCAGGUAGAACAAUCCGCAGCCCGCUGCACCCCGCGCUACCGAGGCCCGGCCCCUCUCUCCAUCCCCUCCCUCGGUGUCUUCCACGCGAACGACCUGAAUCAGCUCACGCUUUUCGUGUCGCCGUCUCCAAGCAUCGGCAUCAGCCAAACGACGAGUACACGCUUGCUUUGUGUGUGUGUAUGUAUCUCCCCACUUGAUGCGAUCCUCCUUUUUUUUUGCUUCUAUUAAUUUCUUGUGUAUUGCAUAUUCCGCUUGCUUCGACCUCGAUCCUUGCGUCGUCUCAGAUAUGUCUCCGUGCGUGUGGUUGUGGAUUCCCAGUGAGAGUGUUGUACAUGAUUGCCCACGAAGUUUGCGCACUCCGUUCCUUGCCUUUCUACUGUUGCUGCGGCUGCCCCCCCCUCCCUCCCCCCGUCGGCUUUGUUCAGCCGGGUGCGCGUGUGUGUGUGCGUGUCUGUCUUUACCUGGUUUGCGUCUCGGACCUUCUCGCUCCCUUUUCCUCACCCCUCUUUCGGCCAG